UAUUAGAAAUUUUAAAGAACUCUAUCCAACUUUUUAUAGUAAUCCAGAAAUCAAAACACCUAAAAUCACUUUCAUUGCAGUUUCAUUCAGGCAGAUAGGAGCUUAGAUGACAACAUGCUUCUUAGGGGAGAGUGUCAUAGAUUGGUGCUUUGCAGCUUGCUGAAGUGAUAAGGAUUGCAUUCACUGACAUUCCAGGUGAUACCAGAUUAAUUUCUAGUACAUCCCCAAAAAACCUAUCAAAUAAUGCAAGGGUCAUAUUUAAGUAUGGAAACAUUUAAAUUCAAACUGUAAUUUGAGGACUGCACAAAAGAUGUUUUAAAGUGUUUCAUAAAUUUGGUAUUUUUAUAAAAAUAACAAUGUUCUGCAUGUUGAUGAGUAUGCACCUAGGAACAAUAGACAGGCUGAUCAUCAGUCUUGCUAUCUUUUGGCAGCCUUGGAGGGGGAGGGGUUAGAGAUGUUGAUUGUAUAGUUUUGGGGGUUUUAAUUAUCCAUAAUUCUGCUAUCCCCUAUGACUGCAGGUAACUGAGAGUUGGCUAUAUAUGAAAGGUAUGAAAACUAUGUGACAGUUUAGAUGACAGCUGAGAUCAAUUAUUUGACUCAACUCAGUUGUAUUGACCCACAAGGUGUCACCAAUAAUGGUUUUAUCAUUUUGGAAGUGGUUUCAACAUGUAGUUGUUUCUUUGGCUGCUUGGGUCUUAGUGGUGUAUCAAGCAGACUGCAGUUCUGGGCAACAGAGCUUAACUGGCCUCAGACUUGUUGGUUGUCCUGCCUCUGGAAUGGAAAUGCAUGAGUGAUCCUGUAAUGGAUACUGCCGUGAUGUGGAAUGUCCAUGGGAUUUGGAGUCCCAAGACCUAGAUUUAGAGAACCCUGUUCUACCACUCAGUAGCUGCAUGACCUUGAGCAAGUCACUUUUUUAAAGUGUUACUAUGCAAGAUUGUAUUCUGGGGUGGGAAUAGCCAACAAUCCCAUGCAGUCAGAUAAUCUUAAGAGUGGCAUAGUUAAUAAUACCUGAGAAAUGCAUUUCCAUGGACGGUAUUACAGGUUGGAAGGGAUUUUUGUUGACAUUUGUAAUUGAGUUAGACAUGGCAAUACAGGGACAAAGUUGGAUUGUUAAACUUUGAAGCAUGUAAAACUAAACUCGCCUGUCAUCUAAACUGGCCACGUGUGGGGCUAGCUUCUACUAUUAAGUGCAGUCUUUGGGGGAUAGAUGGGUAGUUCAUUUUUGUUUCAAGCUAUAUCUAAUGCUUUCACAAAAAAGCAUUUAAAUGUGUAUGUAUAUAAAUUGUCGUCUUCAGUGUUAAAUUAGUUUUGUAAAUAGUGGUAAAAUGCUGGGGCCUUAUAAGAUUGAGUAUUUUGUUUCAGGUUGGGGAUGGCAUUGGUCCUUGCUUUCCUGAAUCUAUUGACAGUUUGGUCUUAUGUAAAGCAAAUUAUAAGUAUAUAUCCAAGCUUAAAAUAAUAAUUGACUCUGGUACAUUUUGAAUGAAAAAGAACAUUAUUCUCCCCUGUUAAUCUAUUUUUGGAAUGUGAUAUUACUAGACUGCCAUAAAGAAGAAUAACCCCAGGAAGUACCUUCGCAGUGUAGGAGAUGGAGAGACUGUGGAGUUUGAUGUUGUUGAAGGAGAAAAGGGUGCGGAGGCAGCAAAUGUUACAGGCCCUGGUGGAGUUCCAUUUCAAGUCAGUAAAUACGCAGCAGACCGUAACCAUUAUAGACGCUAUCCACGUCGUAGGGGUCCUCCACGCAAUUACCAGCAGAAUUACCAGAAUAGUGAGAGUGGGGA